rnacentral:lncRNA from 1 species
GGCUGCGUGGUGUAUCAGAUUUAGGUCGGUUCAGAGGAAAUCUGCGGGAGAUUUGCAUGAGAUAGCAAUACUGUGGCCCAUGAAACAGCAAAAAAUUAUCAACGUGGUGUAUCAGAUGUACAUUGACUUUCAGAGCACCAUCAACUAGCUUGAUCUGGUGUCCACUCGAAUAGAAAAGAAGAUGAAGUGCGUGACCAUUGUAGCUAUCAUUUAACCAAAUGACGAAUGUGUGCAUCUGAAGAAGGACUGAGGGUGAGAAGAACAGUUUGUGCGGCUUGGAGUGGGUGAGAAUUUUCUAGCCGGUAAUUAGGGAUUUCCAGCAAACGUGGCAGAGCAAAAUCCAUGUGAUCAAC